AUUGAACGCUGGCGGCAGGCCUAACACAUGCAAGUCGAGCGGAUGAAGGGAGCUUGCUCCUGGAUUCAGCGGCGGACGGGUGAGUAAUGCCUAGGAAUCUGCCUGGUAGUGGGGGAUAACGUCCGGAAACGGGCGCUAAUACCGCAUACGUCCUGAGGGAGAAAGUGGGGGAUCUUCGGACCUCACGCUAUCAGAUGAGCCUAGGUCGGAUUAGCUAGUUAGUGGGGUAAAGGCCUACCAAGGCGACGAUCCGUAACUGGUCUGAGAGGAUGAUCAGUCACACUGGAACUGAGACACGGUCCAGACUCCUACGGGAGGCAGCAAUGGGGAAUAUUGGACAAUGGGCGAAAGCCUGAUCCAGCCAUGCCGCGUGUGUGAAGAAGGUCUUCGGAUUGUAAAGCACUUUAAGUUGGGAGGAAGGGCAGUAAGUUAAUACCUUGCUGUUUUGACGUUACCAACAGAAUAAGCACCGGCUAACUUCGUG
rnacentral:rRNA from 1 species